AUGGCAAUAUGUGAUUUUGAUAUGAGGUUCAUUUUUGUUGUUGCUGGAUGGCCUGGAUCUGUUCAUGACACACGUGUAUGGGCUGAUGCACGAGCUGAAUAUCCUAGUUUCCCACACCCUCCGAACGGAAAAUUCUAUCUUGUUGACUCGGGCUGUCAAAACAGAGCCGGGUAUCUAGCACCAUACAAAGGACAACGGUACCAUGUACCUGAUUUCCAGCAAGUACCUCCUCGAGGGAGAAAUGAGACCUUUAAUCAUCUACAUUCCUCACUACGAAAUGUCAUCGAAAGAACUUUUGGUGUUCUCAAGAUGAAAUGGCGAACAUUCUUGGCAUUAGGCGUUACAAAGUUGAAAUGCAAACAACGAUAA
rnacentral:rRNA from 1 species